rnacentral:lncRNA from 1 species
CUAAUGGGAAUGGGCGUGGCCUGGGAGAAGUGGGCGUGGCCUAAUGGAGGUGGGCGUGGCCUGCAGACCGUGGUGCUCCAGCCCCCAUGGAGUGGGCAUGGCCUAAUGGGAGUGGGCGUGGCCAAAGGGGGCGUGGCCAACGGCGGCGGGUGUGGCCGAUUGGGAGUGGGCGUGGCCAAUGCAAAUGGGCAUGAGUCUAUGGGGCUGGACCCGUGGGAGGUGGGGGCGUGGCUUUAUGGGGGGCGUGGCUUUAUGGGGGGCGUGGCCAAUGCAAAUGAGCGUGAGUUUAUGGGGCUGGACUCGUGGGAGGUGGGGGCGUGGCUUCUAUGGGGGGCGUGGCCAACAGGAAUGGGCGUGGCCAAUGCAAAUGAGCACAACUUCCUGCAGGUUCAUGUCGCUCAACCGCAGGGGGUGGGGGCGUGGCCAAAGGGGGGCGUGGCCAAAGUGGGCGUGGCCAAAGGGGGGGGGACCGUGGCCAAAGGGGGGCGUGGCCAAAGGGAAUGGGCGUGGCCAAUGCAAAUGAGCACGACUUCCCACGGGUUCAUGUCGCUCAACCGCGGGGGGUGGGGGCGUGGCCAAACGCGGGCGUGGCCAAACGGGGGGCGUGGCCAAACGGGAGGCGUGGCCAAAGGGGGCGUGGCCAAAGGGAACGGGCGUGGCCAAUGCAAACGGGCACAACUUCCCGCGGGUUCAUGUCGCUCAACUGCAGGGGGCGGGGGCGUGGCCAAAUGGGGGGCGUGGCCAACGGUGGUGGGUGUGGUCUAUAUGGGCGUGGCCAAAGGAAAUGGGCGUGGCCAAUGCAAAUGAGCACGACU